AGUUAUGGGGCAGAUGUAAUAGACCAACAAAAUGAAUAUCAAAAAGUUAUUUGUAACUUGCUUAGAACACACAGCUGUUGGGGAGUUCCAUGAUAGCACAAUCAGAAGAUACUGAGUCAGAGUCUCCAUCCACAGCAGAGAAGAAGUGGAAUUCCCAUGGCUCUUGGACCCAUGGCUGGCAUUAUAUCUCCUAGUGAGGCAUCAACAUACCUCUUCCUGUUGCAAGGUACUGGAAGUGCUGAGGUGCCAGAAAGAGGAUGGAACUGCCACCAGAAGUUGGCAACAGCUGAACAUUGCUAUGACCUAAUGCUGGAAGGACAAAGGCAAAGAUGGAAUCACUAGAAUCUAAGAGCUUUCAUCACCCAGCAGAAGCUAAAGCCAUGGUGAACUACCACACCUUUAUUUGGCCAAACCUCCUGGACACUGGUAGAGCAAUGAAAAUUUGCUAUUGGGAA